GGGGAAUUGUUCGCAAUGGGCGCAAGCCUGACGACGCAACGCCGCGUGGAGGAUGAAGAUUUUCGGAUCGUAAACUCCUGUCGAGUGGGAAGAAUAGUUUCCGGGCGAAUACCCCUGGUAGCCUGACGGUACCACUAAAGGAAGCCCCGGCCAACUCCGUGCCAGCAGCCGCGGUAAUACGGGGGGGGCAAGCGUUGUUCGGAAUUACUGGGCGUAAAGGGCCAGUAGGCGGCCAACUAAGUCGGACGUGAAAUCCCCAGGCUCAACCUGGGAACUGCGUCCGAUACUGGAUGGCUUGAAUUCGGGAGAGGGAUGCAGAAUUCCAGGUGUAGCGGUGAAAUGCGUAGAUAUCUGGAGGAAUACCGGUGGCGAAGGCGGCAUCCUGGACCGACAUUGACGCUGAACGGCGAAAGCUAGGGGAGCAAAC
rnacentral:rRNA from 1 species